ensembl:lncRNA
GCCGAGGCGGUGCCCGAUGCUGUUCCGGAGGCCGAGGCGGUGCCCGAUGCUGUUCCGGAGGCCGAGGCGGUGCCUGAUGCCGAGGCGGUGCCCGAUGCUGUUCCGGAGGCCGAGGCGGUGCCCGAUGCCGAGGCGGUGCCCGAUGCGGUUCCGGAGGCCGAGGCGGUGCCCGAUGCUGUUCCGGAGGCCGAGGCGGUGCCCGAUGCUGUUCCGGAGGCCGAGGCGGUGCCCGAUGCUGUGCCGGAGGCCGAGGCGGUGCCCGAUGCUGUGCCGGAGGCCGAGGCGGUGCCCGAUGCGGUGCCGGGGGCCGAGGCGGUGCCCGAUGCUGUUCCGGAGGCCGAGGCGGUGCCCGAUGCUGUUCCGGAGGCCGAGGCGGUGCCCGAUGCCGUGCCCGAGAUGGUUCCCGAGGCUGUUCCCGAUGUGGUGCCCAAGGCCGAGGCGGGGUCCACAGGCCGACCAGAGCAUCUUCACGUCUCCACAGGCCGUCCAG